rnacentral:rRNA from 1 species
CAACGAGCGCAACCCUCGUCCUUAGUUGCCAUCAUUAAGUUGGGCACUUUAAGGAAACUGCCGGUGAUAAGCCGGAGGAAGGUGGGGAUGACGUCAAGUCCUCAUGGCCCUUACAGGCUGGGCUACACACGUGCUACAAUGGCAACUACAGUGGGCAGCUAUCCCGCGAGGGUGAGCUAAUCUCCAAAAGUUGUCUCAGUUCGGAUUGUUCUCUGCAACUCGAGAGCAUGAAGGCGGAAUCGCUAGUAAUCGCGGAUCANCAUGCCGCGGUGAAUACGUUCCCAGGCCUUGU